CAUGUUUUAUUACGAAUCUGUGUGCUUUCCUCUGCUUUCCUCUGUUUUAUAUUACUUAUGGGUGCGGUAUUUAUGUUAUGUAAUCUGCUUCUGUGCUUUACUAUGUGUUUGUGUGGUAUCUCGUGCCUUGAGCCGGGGGUCUAUCGAAAACAGCCUUUCUACUUCUUUAGAGGUAGAGGUAUAGACUGCGUACAUCUUACCCCCCAGACCCCACUAGGUGGGAAUACACUGGGUUUGUUGUUGUUGUAUGUAUUUCAAAAAUCCAACUUUCUUUGUGGGUGAUUCACUUAGUUAAAAAUAUAAUAGCAAUAAUACUCCAUAUACAACAUGGUAAAAUAAUCGGAUUAUAUAUACACAUACAUAUAUAGAGAGAUAAAUAUAGAUAUAGAUAUAGAUAUAGAUAUAUGAAAAAUAAACUUAUAAAAAUUGUGAAUGAAAAGAAACGACUUUUGUAAAGCAAUUAAUACCUGCAAGAUUAUUUUGCUAGAACAUCUCACUACAUAAACCAAUAAAAAUGGUCACAAAAAAUUAUUAAAAAAAUAGCACUAAAAAUAUGUAGCAGUAACAAUAUGAAUUAUGAUACAUAUAACAUAAAUGCAGUUAUUUAUGAGUAAAUACAUAAUUAUCUCCCUGAUCUUGUCCGAGAUUUAUAAAAAGACACCUAAAUUUUAACUUCGACUUAUUACUACACGAUUCUUUUUUAUUUCGUUGCAAACACACGUGUAAAAUAAUUUAAUAUAUAAUUUAUAUUUUUUAAAAAAAAAAUAUUUAUUUAUUUUUAAAAUUAUUCCUACCCCCUCUUCGCCCUCCAACCCACCCACUCUUUCUAUUUCAACUCAAUUCACCAUUAAAGCUUCCAUUAAAGCUUUUUUUUUUUUUUUAAAUCAUUCAUUAAAGCUCCAUUUUACAACUAAAUCAUUUCAUUUAACUACCUACCAUUUCUUCUUCAACACAAUAUCUUCUUCAACACUAUUAAAUCUCUUCAACACAAUAUCCCCAUUAAAGCUGCUCCAUUGAAGCUUUUUUUUUUUUAAAUCAUAUCAUUAAAGCUCAAUUUUUCAAUCAAAUCAUAUCAUUUAACUAUCUUUAAAACUCAAUUCAAUCAUAAAACUCUCAAUUCAAUCAUAAAACUAUUUUUUGAAUUGAUUUGGAAAAAAAAAUGGACGGGGAGAGAGAAUGGUGACAGAGUGAGGGGUUUGGGGUGCUUGGGGGAGAUGUUGAUGGGGUGGGGGUGUUGGACGGGGGUGGGGGUGCUGAAUGAGGGUGGGGAGUGGAGGAGAGCUGUUGGGAGGGGAGUUGUAAGAUGGGGUGGAGUGGGGGAAGAGAGGGUGGGGUGUUAAAUUAAAUAAAAAGUAAACUUUUAUUUAAAAAACAAAAAAAUAUAUAAAUUAAACGUAUUUGACACGUGGCAGUACCUGAUUGACGCGUGUAUUUCACUCUCCUUGUUGUGACUGAGAUUCAGCGAAAAAUGAUGUGUUUGCAACGAAAUAAAAAAGAAUCGUGGGGUAAUAGGUCGAAUUCAAAGUUUAGGUGUCUUUUUGAAAAUCUCGGCCAACAUCAGUAGGGUAAUUAUGAAUUUACUCUUUAUUUAUUGUUGUUGGUCACAAACAAAUAUAAGUUAUUACAAAAUAAAAUUAAUUUCGUUCGUCAUUCUUCCCUCCAAUUUUCUCAGCCACCAACACAACAAUUCAAUUACAAUCUCUUCAUCUUUUACUUUCCUGACCUCCAAUGUUGCAAGAUUUAGCAAAAUGUACCAUCGUUUAUUUUUAUUUAGAGAAAUAGUAAACUUGGGUCCUCUUUGAGUCUCCCAAAAUAUUAACCAAUUGGAACACAAAGAACAUAGGAGAACCAAAACCAAAUAUAAAAAGGAGAUUUUUUCAAAGGAAGAAUAGUCAAUGUCAGCAAGAGUAAUGAUGAUACGGAAAUAAUCACGAAUAUGGACUUAGUGAUACAAGUAUGAUCAUGAUCAUGACACUUUUGAGUAUUUUUAAAGACUAGUCACUAAAGGGCUCUUUUGUCAUUUUUCUAUUAUUUGUAGUGUUGUAUAAAUAGAACCUUGGAGGGUUUAUUUUCUUAGUUUAUGCAUGAUAUUGAAGACACUACUCUUGUAAGAGAGAGUUCUCAAAAUUGAAAUUAGGGUAUAGCAUAAAGGUGGAUUCUCUUGUGUGUUACAAAGCUUGAGACUUGGUGCUUUGAGAGGUGGAUGCCCCUCUUGUGUCAUUGUAAGAGUUAGGUAUUUGUUGUAUGAAGUGUUAAAAGUCCAAGAGUGAAUAUGCUCUUGGGUUGUUAGACUACAUCAACACUUGUCUAACUAUCUAUCUUUGUUUUUUGUCCUAAUCUUGUAGUUUGUGUUGUGGUUGCUCAAGUCGUUUGGUUAUUGUGGUUGUAACAUUGUUGUUCUUCAUUUUUAUUGUCAUAAUAUAAUUUGAUUUGUUGCUGGAAAUUAAGUGUUAAACACAUCAUUACAUGGUAUUCUUGUUGUGUUCUUGAAUCCGAUAGGGGUCACCAAAAGAGGUCCAUAGUUCCUUGAACUAGUGGACUGUUUUGGUCUUUGUUUUCUUGUGUUCUUGGGUUGUCUUGUAUCACUUAGGAGAGUAUGUGUUGGAUCCGAUCUUUGGCACGUGCAAAUAAAGUGUAAAAGAGGCCCAAAAUGCACCGAAAUCGGCCCAUAAAUUACACUAGAUGGGAGCCCACUCUUUGAAGGAUCUUUUGGUCAUUUUAACUUAUAUUUUGUAAUAGCUAUAAAAGGAACAUUGUAGGGUUUUUAGUUUAGUUUUUGGAUGAUAUUUGUGAGUCUUGUAAGACUUGUAACAAGCUCUCUCUAAUGAGAAGAGUGACCACCGAAACUAGGAUACAACAAUAGGGUGGAUUUUCUUUUGUUGUUGCUUGCUUGGAAGCGUUGAUGCUAGAGAGGUGAAAUCCAAUCUUGUGUCACGUAAGAGAUAGGUUUAUUGUUAUAUGUAGUGUUAAGGGUCCAAGAGUGUUCAUUCUUGGGUUCUUAAGAUUAUACCUUCAUGUAAUCUUGUUUAGUGUUUGUGUGGUAAUCUUGUGUUCUUGUUGUUAUUGUUAAAUCCGAAUUUUGUGUCUUAUUGUCCAUCAUCUUAUGUUGUUAAUUUAGUUUGUUGUCCGCUGAUUUGGUGUAAUAAACACCUUGUUAUCUUCUUGUUAUUGUGUUCUUGAGAAGCCGGGACUUGAUCUCCAAAAGAGUUCACAGAUUUCUUCCAUUUUGUGGAUUGUUUUUUGGGCUGAUUUUGGUGUUUCCUUGUUUGUCCUGUAUCAUUUGGUAUCAAAGUCAUCUUAGGUUUUGUUCUUACAAUACCAAUCUUAGGCUAACUUGCUAAGAAAAAAAAAAGAUGUGUUCUUGAGCUUGAGAUCUUGGCCGAGAAGUUGAAUUUGUUGUUGUAUCUUGACCGAAUGUUAUGUGUCUAGGUCUAGGAUUUAUUUUGCUUGUGUUGUUGUUUCAAGUGUUGGUAUUCUUUUCUAUUAACACUUUGAGUUGAUCUAAAUUUGAGUUUUAAAAAAAUUGAUGUUGUUGUUAUGAACAAGACCAUGGCCGUGUGUUGAAGUUGUUGUUCUUGGACGUGUGGACUUGUUGUUAUAGUCUUGGUUGGACGUUGUUGGUGUUUUUGUUGCUCUUGAUAAAGUUGUUGAGUUCUUGACAUUCAUCACAACCUACACCCUUGCUAAAAUCGAAAUACAACACCAAAAAGAACCUUGGCCGUGUGUUGACACUAAAAUUGGCCGUGAUAUAUGUUGAUGUUUACCGUGGGGUGGAAAUUGUUGCGAUGUUGUUGAUGUGUUCUUGAAGGUUGUUGUGGUGUUCAUCUUGUUCUUCAUCUCAUCUUACAACUUAAGACAACCAAAAGUGAAAUAUAGAUUCAAAAAGGUGAACCUACAAGUUGUAAAGUUGUUUGUGAGAAGACUUGAGUCGUCACUUUAUUGACUUGACAUCUACUUUUCAACCACUUUCCUUGUUUCAAGGGACCUUGUUUUGUGGGAAUUGUACAAAGUCAAGUCUUAUCUUUUGAAGAUUAGACUUAAAGGAGAUUUAAGACAUAUAAUUUCCCUCCAAAACCAAUUGUUUCCAUUACAUAGUAACUAAAGUUUGUAAACUUCAACUAGUGAAUAAUUAUGGGGUCGUGACCAAUGGUAUGCUGCCAUAUCACCUAAGUUACUAUUCACACAAAAUUUUAAGCUCAAAUUUUAAGCUCAAAAUUUGUUCUUCUAGUUUCAUUGUGUUGUUUCUUUAGUUUCGUUUGUUGAUUCCAUUACUAACUUACAAGCUAGUUUUAGAUUGUAAGUUAGUUUUAAAACUAUCCUUCGUGUAUAUGUACAAGUACCUUUGUGUGUCCAAUUCUUUUAAGUUGAUGUAAUACUUGAUCCACCUCUCACUGUCUCACGGAGUACAAGCAACGUUACGAAACUUGUGAGAUCAAAGCGAGAGAAAAAAAUCUAAGAGACAAAACAAUAGAGACGGAGUGUGAGGAUCAUUCUUGUACAACUAACUUAUUUGUUGUUUUAUAGGUAACUUCUUGGCCAUAAUGAAAACCAUUUUGGCCCUCCUAGAUGCUUUGUCCCGAGACCUUGCUAGGGCAAAUGCGGGUCUUGAAAAACUUGACUCGGAUAUGGUAACUAUGCAUGAGAAGUUGGAUCGAAUAGAGAGUCGAAGGAACUCUCGUGCUUUUACACUCGAAACUUUACUUCCAAUGACCAAUCCUCCAAGACCACCACAUAAUGCCACAAGCUAAGCUCCAAAUAGCCUUCAAAAUCGAGAACAAGAUAGACCACUUCCCCCGCAAGUUGAUCAAGUCCAACAAGGAGGACUUGGAAGACAAUUUCCUCUCAUCCAAGCUCCAUAACCGAAGCUCCACAUUACCAAAUCGAGCCUCUCAACCGAAACUUUCCUUUUAAAAAACCGACACAUCCAAGAAGAGGUAUAUGGUAGAGAGAGACAUGAAGGAUAUGAAGUCUCCUGAUAGAAGGAGACUUGAGUCAGAUGAGAUUGAAGGCCAAUCUCAAGAAGGAGAGGAAGCCGAGGAUCAAAAUGAAGAUCUUGGAUCCGAGACUUAUUGUCAUUAUGCUCUCGGGGUUUGGCUAGCUUGUGGACUAUUUUUGUGCAUUUCUUGUGGGCUGAUUUUAGCUCGUAUCUUGAUACGUCCCUUGUUAUUAUUGAGCUCUCGGACUCUUUAUGUUUUGCGGACUAAUUUUUAGUAGGUUUCCUUUGAAGUGACCAAUUAAAUGAGGUGAAGCCAUGAAUUUGUGGACAAAUUCCUCUCAAGAUGGAGAGGAUGAUAUAGAUUUAGGAGAGUACGUGUUGGACCCGAGCCUUGGCACAUGCAAAUAAAGUGUAAAAAAAGCCCAAAAUACACCCAAAUCAGCCCAUAAAUUACACUAGAUGAGUGCCUACUCUUUGAAGGGCCUUUUGGUCAUUUUAACUUAUAUUUUGUAAUAGCUAUAAAAGAAAUAUUGUAGGGUUUUUAGUUUAAUUUUUGAAUGAUAUUUGUAAGUCUUGUAAGACUUGUAACAAGCUCUCUCUCUAAUGAGAAGAGUGACCACCGAAACUAGGAUACAACAAUAAGGUGGAUUCUCUUUUGUUGUUACUAGCUUGGAAGCGUUGAUGCUAGAGAGGUGAAAUCCGAUCUUGUGUCAUGUAAGAGAUAGGUUUAUUGUUGUGUGUAGUGUUAAGGGUCCAAGAGUGUCCAUUCUUGGGUUCUUAAGAUUAUACCUUCAUGUGGUCUAUCUAUCUAUCCUUUUACCUUCUUGUAAUCUUGUUUAGUGUUUGUGCUAUAAUCUUGUGUUCUUGUUGUUAUUGUUAAAUCCGAAUUUUGUGUCUUCUUGUUCAACAUCUUAUGUUGUUAAUCUAGUUUGUUGUCCACUAAUUUGGUGUAAUAAAUACCUUGUUAUCUUCUUGUUAUUGUGUUCUUGGGAAGCCGGGACUUGGUCUCCAAAAAGGUUCAUAGAAUUCUUCCAUUUUGUGGACUGAUUUUGGUGUUCCCUUGUUUGUCCUGUAUCAAGUGAUAACCAUGAUGAUACGUAUAAGUUAAAGAUAACAGCAAGUUGUAUUCUUUUUUUCCCCCUCAAUACCUUGAUAAGUCUUUCUUUCUUCACCUUUUUAAAGAAAAUAGAUAAGAUAUAUCUUUCACUUGAUCUUAACCAAAAGGCCAACCACCAGAGUUGGCAUAGUGGUUCAGCGCUGUGUCCCUUAAGCAAGAGGUCGGGGGUUCGAUUCCCGCUCUGGCAAAUAAAGCAAACUCUGUGGUUAGUUCGCAACCGCAAAAUGCACUGACCGAGGAACGGAGGAUUAGUUUUAUUAAGAUAUACGUUUCACAACUUGUGUAUAUAUAACAAAAUUGCUAUUGUAAAUACAAAUGUUUUAUUAAGGUUUUUAGUGUUAGGUGAAAACACUAUUUUGUUUAUUACGGAGAUUUUUAAUGAAAGACAAAAAUUUCAGAUCACUUUUCAAGUCUUCACACUUUUAAUAUAGAAAAGACUAUUCACUUUAUUUUUAUCUCAAUAGUUUUUUUUAAUGUAAGUAUGACUUUGAUAAAAGUCAAAGUCAUACUUACGCCUUAAUAAAAAGCAGAACUAAUAUGAAUAAAACAUAAAAUUUAGAAUAGAAAAAACAUACCUUAAAUUCACUUGUAAUCGAUAUCUUGUAAUCAAUACGAAGUUUUGUCCGCAUGCUUCACAUAAAUCUUGCUUCAUCUGCACAAACAUAUUAAAGAAUCAAUCAAUAAUGAUUUAUUUACGAAGGCAAAUACAAAGAAUAAAAGAUUAUGAAGAUCUUCAAUUUUGUUAAGCCUAAUUUAAAGUAACAAUAAAAAAAGACGAACUUAUUUUGAAGGUAAAUUUAAACAAAAAAGACAUCAAAUAUAGAAGCUUAAAACCCCAGACGAACUUAUUUGCGAUAAAAAAACGUUGAAAAAGGUAAAAAGAAUUUAAUGUAAUUCUUUACAUAUAUUAUUUUAGGAAUGUUAAUUUAUAUUCAUAUAUUUUAGGAUUCAUAAAUAUUUUAGGAUUCAUAUAGUUUAUGUUUUUUAAUAUUCUUAAUCCUUCCAUAUAUUUAUUUUAUCAAGAUUUUCCCAUAUAUUUUUGGAGUGCUUGAUUUAAUAAUAUAAUAAUUGGAGGAAAUAGGUGAAAAGACGAUUUUAUCUAUUGCAAAGUAUUUUAAUGAAGGGCAAAAAGUUUGAAUCACUUUUCUAAUGAUCUUCACACUUUUAAUAUAUUAUANNNNNNNNNNNNNNNNNNNNNNNNNNNNNNNNNNNNNNNNNNNUGUCUGUAGAUACGUAUGAAUAAGGUAGACUAUCAAAGAAAUAUUAUCGUAGGAGAUAAAACAUAAUUUCAUUUUUUUAGGAUUAAAAUCACACUCAAACUUGAGUUUCGUGGGUGUUUGAAUUGGCUUAUUUUUAGGUAUUUUUAACUUUUAAUCAUUUUUUUAGUUUUCGUGAUGUUUGGGAAAGUUAAAAAGUACUUUUAAACACUUAAUUUUAAGUCAAAAGAUGUCAAAAUAAACCAAAAGUCAAAAGUAGGAUAGUACCAACUUAUGGCUUUUGACUUUUAGCUUAUAAGCGGAGAAUUAUUAAAAGUCUAUCCAAACACCCCCUUAUUUUUUAAUGUAAAAUAAAUUCAUAAAAACAACAUAACAUACAUGACCAAAAAAUAUGCACAAUAAAAGUUAAAUGAAAAAAUAAAUUAUAUUACCCUACCAUUGUUGGUACUAAAACAAUCCAAUUUAGCCAUUGUAAAUAAACUAUCAAUUUUUGACAUCAUGAUCGAACUGUCAUCAUCUUCAGGCAAACAAAGUGAUGCCCUCAACACUAACAAUAAAUUUGAAUCUUUAAAUGAACAGAUUCCUGAAGAUGAACAGAGCACAGAGCAUUAUAGUGCAUACCAAGGUAUUACUACAUACACAGAUGGAACUAGAGAAUGGGUAGAGAAGACUUUUCAUAGUAAUGCAGCAGUAGUGCACAGUCAAGAGCAGCAUGUCAAGACAUGCAGCAACACAAUUAAUCAACAGAGGGAGUAUCAUAAUAAAGUGCAAGUUGAUAAGGUAUGCAUAAAGUCACAAUAAGUGCAGGAAGAGCAAUUCAAUAAAGACAAGGUGGAAAAAGAAAAUGUGAAUAUUAUGAUAGCAAAGCAGGCAGAAUCAGUUAGUACACUGGCAAUAGUUGAACAUAAGGUGGCUAUAGAAGAAGAGAAGAAUGAGGAGAAGCAACAGUUAAAUGCAAGUAAUUGCAGAAAUAAUAAAGAGCAGGUGGUACAGAUGGAUUUACAAAAUCAAUUAGAAAAUGCCAUUAUCAAGAACCUUAGUAGAUUGAUACCUCAUUGGAAAAGAUUGAGAUGCUGGGAUCAUAUCUAAAGGAAUCUGACAGUUUGCUGAUGUUGGAGAUGAUAGGCUUAAAGAAGAGAGGAAAACAAGAUGUUGUCAUUCAUCUUUAAAAUCAAGUCCUGUAAAAGUCUUGCAUGAUAUUGUAUCACAUCAGAUAGUUGAUAAAGAGAACCAGCAAGCGGGAUGCAAUAUCCAACCUGUUGAAGACAAGAAAGAGGUUAAUAAUAAGACAAAUGCUCAUCAAGUUUUUAAAGAAGCUGGUUUAUCAACUAUUAACUAUUGCUAAGAGUAACAACACCAGGAGUAAGGGUGAUACAGUACCAAAGAGGUCGAAUCCAAAGAGAAAUACUAAGGCUGUUCAGAAAUGAGUCUAAAAACAUUAUUUUGGAAUGUGAGGUCUGUAAAGACUCAAAAUUCAUUCCAUAGAAGUCAGAUGUUGAAUAAGCAUCAUAAGUUUUCUAUAAUAGCUUUGAUGGAGCCUUUUCAGAAUGUGAUGUAGAUUCAAAGAUACAAGAGAAGAUUAGGCAUGCCUUAUACAAAUUACAAUCAAAAUGGUAAGAUCUGGGUAUUUAUUCAGGAACACAUUCAUGUGGAUGCUAUUCUUGAUGCUGAACAACAUUUGACAUUAAGGCUAUUGUUUUUAGAAUCUGGUCAAUCAAUUUUACUUAAAGUGAUAUAUGCCAAAUGUGAUGCACAAGGAAGAAUGGCAUUAUGGGAUGAUUUGUAUACUUUGAAUUUGGAAAUGCAACUGCCUUGGUUGAUUGGUGGUGAUUUUAAUGUCAUUCUAAGUAAUGAAGAGAAGAUAAGAGGACUGCCUGUAUAUCCUCAAGAAUAUGAGAAUUUUGCUUUCUGUGUGAAUUCUUGGGAUCUUGUUGACGUCAAAUUUAAGGGUAUUUACUUGGUGGAAUGGUAGAAUAGAUGAUGAUUUUAUUUUCCAAAGGUUGGACAGAAUUUUGGUGAAUCAGUCCUUCUUGGGUUGGUUUGGGUUAAUAGAAUCAGAACAUUUAGCUAGAACUGGAUCAGAUCAUGCCCCAUUGCUAUUGUCUUAUGGGAGUCAGUCCUAUAGCUAUUAACAAGCCUUUUAGAUUUCUUAAAUUCUGGUCAGAAAAGGAAGAUUUCAAAAAGGUGAUCAGAGAUAAUUGGAUAGCAAGUGAUGUCAGUGACAUUUUUGUGAGUCUAAAGCAAAAAUUAAAAAGAACAAAGUUGGCUUUAUCUGGUUGGAGCAAAAAUAAUUUUAGAGAUAUUUUCAAGCAGCUGAUAAAUUAGAGAGGAAAUUGUGACAAUGAAAGAGAAAUUAUUUGAAGCUGAUCCAUCAGCUUUAAACAGGAUGGUUCUUCAUAAAGCACAAGCUAGGCUGAAGAAAUAUGUUCAUUAUGAGGAAGAAUUCUGGAGGCAAAAAGCUGGUAUCAAGUGAUUUACUGAAGGGGAAAAGAAUACAAGAUUUUUUCAGUCUUGUUAAUGGAAGAGGGAAGAAGAAGAUUAUUUAUCAAUAGAAUCAAAAAUAUAAAUAGGGAGUAUGGGUUGAAGGGUUUGAUCAAGUGGCUGGUGCUGCUGUGGAUUUCUAUCAAGAACAGUUCACAGAAACUCAGACUACUGCUGAAUAAUCACUGCUGAAGUUUAUUCCUAGUUUGGUAUCUAUUGAUUCAAAUAGGGCUAUUAAUGCUCUGUCAUCCAGAGAGAGGUUGAAAAAGUUGUAUUUGAACUUAAUGGUGAUAGUGCUUCUGGCCCGGAUGAAUUUUCUGGUUUAUUUUUUCAAAAAUGCUGGGAUAAUAUUGGGAAAGAUGUGUACAGAGUGGUUAUUGCAUUUUUUCAAGGUUAUACUCUUCCUAAAUCCAUCACUCAUACUAAUUUGGUGUUAUUGCCUAUAAAAGAUAUCACAAUCUUUUUCAGACAUGAGACCAAUUAGUUUGAGUAAUUUUCUAAACAAGGUGAUUUCAAGGAUUCUUCAUGAUAGAUUAGAAGACAUUUUGCCUAAUGUUAUAUCAAAGAAUCAAUCUUAUUUUGUGAAAGGGAAGAACAUUACUGAAAAUGUUCUGUUAGCUCAGGAGAUUAUUAUAGAUAUUGGGAAAAGAGAAAAACCUGCAAAUGUAGUUAUCAAACUGGACAUGGCCAAGGCUUAUGAUAGAGUAAGCUGGAAUUUUUUGGUCAAAGUGCUUCAAAAUAUGGGUUUUGAUAAUGAGAUGGUUGAUAAGAUUUGGAGACUACUGGCUAAUAAUUGGUACUCUGUGCUAAUAAAUGGUCAGGCAUAUGGUUUCUUUUAUUCCACUAGGAGGGUGAAGCAAGGGGAUCCUUUAUCACCUACUUUAUUCAUUUAUCUACAGAAGUUCUUUCUGGAGCUCUGAAUUCAUUAUAUAUGGAAAGUGGUUAUAAAGGUUUUGGUCUACCAAAAUGGAGUGAUGCUAUUAAUCAUCUUGCUUAUGCAGAUAAGGAUGCUUUGAAGCUUCUAAUGGGGAUGAUCAGGAGAUAUGAAGAGCAAUCUAGACAAUUGAUAAACAAAGAGAAGAGUUCAUUCUAUAUGUAUCAUAAAGCUGCUCAUUAACACAUUAGGAAGGUGGAAGAAUGCACAGGUUUUUCUAAAGGGAAGUUUCCAUUGAUGUAUUUGGGAUGUCCUAUAGGGCAUGCAAGGAAAAGAAAGGUGCACUUCUCUAAUUUGAUGAAGGAAGUUCAAGGAAAGUUGCAAGCAUGGAAAGGAAAGAUGUUAUCAUUUGGUGGUAAAGCUAUUUUAAUUAAUAGUGUUCUAUCAAGUAUACCCAUUUAUUUAUUAUCUGUCAUUAAUCCUCCUAAGUGUGUUAUUCAUGAUUUACAUAGAAUUUUUGCUAGAUUUCUAUGGAAUUUUAAAGAAGUAGGCAGAAAUAAGCAUUGGGUGGCUUGGGAUGAUAUUUGCAGUCCUAAAGAUGAAGGGGGGUUGGGUUUUAGAUCGUUAUUUGAUGUUUUUAAAGCCAUGUUUGCUAAUCUAUGGUGGAUUUUUAGAACACAAAAAUCUUUAUGGACCAAUUUCAUGUGGACUAAAUAUUGUAGAAAGUGUAACGACCCUCCUGGCCAUUUGCGAAAUUUUCUCAUCUUUCCUAUUUUAGCUCUCUCCGUAGUUAGUGUACGUGAAUUAUGACUCACGGGAUGAGUAGUACAAUUCUUGAGAUGUUCGAAAGUAAUUGAAGUCAUUAGUUGGAUUAUUAAGUUUUAAUAAAUUUAAUUUUGAUCACGGUCAACCUUUUAUCAAGACGACCUCAAUAUAUUAUUUUAAUAUUUUCAAUAGAUUUGAAAUGUACUUUUAGUUAGCUUACAUAUUUAAUUUAUUUCUACGGGGUUUCGAAUGAGUUUUGAGAAUAUAUUAAGAGUUUCGAAUAUUUUAAAUAAUUAAUUUAAUUGAUGCUCUGAAAAAAAAUGCUAUAAAUUAAAUUAAUAGUGGGUCAUACCCACAACUCCCUUAUUUUUUAUUAUGGAUGAAAUUAGGGUAAUAUAUCAUCGGACUAGUAGUUAUUCAUAGCUUAUUUAAAGAGACCAAAAAGAAAAAGGGAGGAGGCGCAGAGGGGAAAGAAAUAGCGCACAUUAAAUGCUUUGAGUCGACUGAUACAGGUGAGAAUAUUUCACUAUUUCACUGUUGCAUGCUUUAAGAUAUAUGUAGAUGGAGAGAGUAAUAACUGGAUAGGUCAGCAACAUUAAGGGGUAAAGGAAUAUGUAAACAGAGGGUAUUUCCUUUGAGAAUUUUAAUCGAAAUUAGUAAUAUAAUACAAAUAAAUUAUUUAGUGGAUAGUGCUAGCAAUCAUUAAUGGUAAAGUAGGCAUGAUGAGCCAAUCGGUUUCAAUGUAGAAACAGUCAAUUAUUUUCUUAUGUUAAUUGAAGACUACGAAUUGCAAUAUUAGUUGUUUAAUACAUUUAUAUUGUAAUUGUUCCAUGUUUUGGAAUUAAAAAAUUGAGGUUUAGGUCUAAGAUUUUUAGAGUAAGAAUUUAUAAAUUGAUGUCAUUAAAUUCGUACUUUUAUGAGAAUUAUAUAUUUGAACAGAUUUAAAACACUCGAAGGUUUUACGGAAGGGCAAGACCCUUGCAAAGUAGCUUACAUUCGGUUUUCUCAAUUGAAGUAGGUUACGGUUUAAUUGGAGUUUAGACUCGAUUUAAUUGUGUGUAUGCUCCUAAAUUGAAUACUUGUGGAUUGGUAUUCGUACAUGUUUGAAAUUAUUGAUAUUUGGAUUGUUGAUUCGUGUAUAAAUAUUUAUUAAAAAUUGACUUGAUGGAAUUUUCUCAUGACUUUAAGUGUACUUGUAAUCUUGAAACAUCGUGUUGUAUGUUGUGAGGUUGUGUAAAUUGAUAUUGAUAAUACUUAUUUAUGUUUAUGUUGGAUCGGGUACCACACUGGUACGUUUACAUUUAUGUGGAUCGGGUACCACGCCAGUACGUUUACAUUUAUAUUGGAUCGAGUACCACGCCGGUACGUUUACAUUUAUAUUGGAUCGGAUACCACGCCGGUACGUCUCUAUUUAUGUUGGAUCGGGUACCACGCCGGUAUGGAUAUGUAUAUGUUGGAUCGGGUACCACGCCGGUACGGUACAUGAACAUAGAUUGUUCCCUGUAGGUCAUGACUAUUUGGGCAAAAAUAAGUCCCAUAGCAUGUGUGUACAUAUUUGUGUUGAUUCUGUGGAUGUUUACAUUAUGGUUGAUACUCUUGAUGGUUAUGUGGCUUGUUUGUGAGCACUGUUUGACAUAUUGUUGUUGCUGGAUUGUUGAUUUAUUGAAUAUUUGUUGUGUGACGAUGUUUGUCUACUCGUUAUUUGAUUUAUGUUGUGUACAUGCUAUUAAAUUGAGUUGACCUAUGAUACCUACCAGUACAUAGUGGUUUGUACUGAUACUACCCUGUAAUCUUCUUUUGUUGAGUGCAGAAAGUGUUCUAGGCUCAGACAUGACCUCACCUCUAGAGUUUGAUAGCAGAUCUUGAUCCAAGGAUGAGCACUCUGUCUCCAGGCUGCCAUGGGUCAUCUUAUUUGUUCUUGUCCAUCUUUCGGGGAAUGGAACAUUCUUUAUUUAUGGAUAUCACUUCAGAUAUGAUCCUUGUUAGUAGUUCUCGUACGAUGACUUUAGGGUCUUGGGAAUUUUAGUAAGUAGUUUGUUUGACUUCUGAAUUAAUAAUGAUUAGUCCUGGAUUAUUGUUAUUAUGUUAAAUUCUACAAUAAUAUCAUCUUAAUAUUGACUAAGUGUUUGGAUCAUGAUUCGGUUUAGACGGUUCUCCCACAGAAGGAUUAGUGUGGGUGCCACUCAUGGCCAUUUGGGUCGUAACAGUUAGACCUUAACUAGUGGAGUGGAGGGGUGGUUCUUUAAUAUGGAAAUACAUGCUUGAAGCUAGGGACAUGUUUGAUCAACAAAUAUGGUGGAACCUAAAUGUGGUCAUUCAAGUGUUUGAUAUGAUAAUUGGACACAGUUGGGGGCAUUACAUUACUUACUUCCUAUUGAUUUAUACAGGAAUUAUCAGCUAGAAGAAGUGAGUCAAUGUUUUAGUAAUGAAGAAUGGAAUUCUGAUCUCCUGCAGUUAAAUUCUGGGAAUGAAACAUGUAAUCAUGUUGUGCAGAAUGUGAAGUGCAAACAAGAGAAUGAAAAUUGGGAUAAAGCAUGGUGGAUGUUGAAUGUUUCUUGAAAUUUCAGAGUUAGAUCUGCCUGGGACUUUGUGAGAAAUAAAAAAGAGAGUUUUUUGAUCUAUAAAAGAAUAUGGAUGAAGGGAAUUCCUUUUAAGGUUUCAUUAUUCAUUUGGUGAUUGUGGAAGAAAAGAUUACCAGUGGGUAAAGUUUUGGUCAAAACUGGUAUUUGUGAAGAGGCUCGCUGUUGUUGCUGUGAUAGUGGAAUUGAUGAAACUUUUGAGCAUCUAUUUAUGACAUGUUCUAAGGCUAAUGAUAUAUGGGUUUAUUUUGCAGCAUGUGAAGGUAUUAAAGGUCCCUUCUUACAAAUAAAGGAUAGUGUAUUUAAAUGGUGGAAUGCGUCCAAAAGUGCAAAGUUAAAUUCUAUUUUUAAGGCUAUUCCUAGGUUUAUUUUGUUUUUGUGGCAGAUUUGGAAAGGUAGAAAUGUUAUUAAACAUGGAGGUAAGAUGACAUUAUGGAGCAUAAAAAGAGAAAUAACUAGAAAUUUAGUGUUGUUGACUAAAACACUAUAUCCCUCGUUUAUAUCUAUUCUAGAAUCAUGGUCGGAAUUACUGAGUUUUCUUCAAAAUUAUUCUCCUAGACUUGCUUGUUCUGUGGUGUAAUGGUCAGCUCCUAGAGCUGGUUGUUUUAAAUGCAAUAGUGAUGGGACUUCUAAAGGGAAUCCUGAUUUCAGUUCUAGUGCUUACUGUAUUAGAGAUGAUCAAGGAAAUCUGGUGUUUGCAAAAUGUAGAAGUAUUGGGGUGUCUAAAAAUUUAAUGGCUGGGGUAAUGGCUAUGAGAUUGGGCUUGGAAUACUGUGCUGAUCACAAUCUAUUUUCUUGAUUUUAGAGACUGAUUCUUUGGCUGUUAAGAAUUUUGUAGAAGGAAAUUGGGAGAUUCCUUGGUUAAUAUCUAUGGAAAUAAGAAGAAUUCAGGAGUUAAUGAAAGGGGUGCAGGUGGUCCUGAAUCAUAUCUACAGGAAGGGCAACAAAGUCGCUGAUUUUAUUGCUAACAAAAUUUUUGUUUUUGCAGGAACAGAAAGAUUAACUUUUUCAACUUAUCAGCAAUUACCAAAGGAAGCUAAAGUUCUACUGAACAUGGAUAAAUUUCAGGUCCCAAAUUUCAGAUUUAGAAACAUGCAAAAUGGGGAAUAUCAUCUGGAUAGCCGAUUAUGAAAGCAGAAUUCAUUUUCAAUAAACCACAACAACAGUUACGCAGGUUAUGCAAUUUUAAGUUGGUUGAUAGCAAAGCAUACAUCACUUGCGAAAAUAACAGACGAUAACUACAAUAUGUGAUAAUUACAAUUGUACGGAGGAUUUACCUGAUUUAUUUGGAAUAAUACUUGAUUUGGGUUUUAGGACAGUGGUAUUAGCUCCUUCGCUGAGCUCAACCUGUUAAAAAUUCAAAAUGAGUAAUAAUCUUGGAUAAAUCAAGUAAAAGGAAAAAGGAAAAUGGAAUAAAUUUAUCUGAGGAGAAAAGUAUAGAUCUGUGAUGAGUGAGAUGGAGAAGUCUCCGGUUGAGUGAUUUCAUGGCAUUUGUGAGAAUUUAAAAUGCCCAAGAUGAAAUGCACUCAAAGCUCAUGGAUUUACACUUCCAAAAUCCAAAAGGAGAAGGAUAUUUCCAACUCAAUGUUGUUAUCUAUUCAAGAUGCGAAAUUAAGAAGAGAAUUAUACAAGCUCAGAAUAAUCUCAUCAUUGCUUUUAGAAGAAACCGAAGAGCUUAGGUUGGAAUUUCAUCGGAGAUAUCGGAGUGUUGUAACAUGGAUGAAGACGCAGUAAAGGAAAGACACUGUCCACUUUCCUAUUUGGUCAUUUUGUUUUGUUGUGCAUAUGUAUUCGGGUCUAGGCCACUUAAUGGGCCAAUAUUUUGUACAAAUUUUGUUGAAAAUCAAUAGAAGGCCAUGUUGGCCUAUUUAAAUUUUUCUAAAAAAAAUUAAGAAAAUAUGAGUGUAACCUUUUGUCGCAAAAAAAAAUCUUCAUGAGUAGAUAUGAUUUAUACUUAAAAUAUGUUGUUAUACCAUUAAUGACCCUAAAAUGUAACAAUCUUUUUUAUGUCAUAGUGAUUGUUAAUUCUAAAUAAGAAAAGUCCCUUUAGAGUAACGAAGAUGGUGAAAGAAGAGGAUCUCAAACCAUCUCCAACAUUAUUAGUAAUAUAUGAAAGUGUCGACGUAAUUUUAUAAGUCUCAAGCACCUGCCAAUCACCAUGGUAUGUCAUCAUCAAAAAUACCCAUUUGACUGUUUGUAGAUUUUUUGAAAUCUCAUAUUAGAAAUUAACUAAGUGCACCCACACUCACUCACUGAUGGAGGAAUGCAUCUAUUCUUGGUAGUAAGUUUAAUUGCAAUAAAACUAUGUGAGCAUCUAAAGUACAUAUCAAAUGGGGAGAUUGAAACUCUAAUUAUAUCGACAGAAAGUGAAAAUAUUGAAUUUAAAAUAAAAAAUUAUUAAUAGAAACUAGAAAAGAUUGCGCGUACAUUUAAUAAUGAAACGACCAUUAUUAUAACACUGUAUAGUUGAUCUUUUGUAUUAUGUAAUGGAAUGACCAUUAUACUAUAACAUUGUAUAUUAGAUAAUUCAUAAGUAAAAAAUGUGUUGGAUAUUUCCAGAAGGUAUAAGAGUAUGUGGAAUGCAAGUUUAAUGACGUGAGGCGGGAGAAUGAGGUAGUAGUGAAACUGGAAGCACAGGAGGUAUGUAAGAGGGAUAAUUUCAAGUAUCUUGGGUCCGUGAUCCAGAGUAACGGUGAGAUUGACGAGGAUGUCUCGCACCGUAUUGGGGCGGGAUGGAUGAAGUAGAAGCUCGUGUCGGGGGUGCUGUGUGAUAAGAAGGUGCCGCCCAAGCUUAAAGGCAAAUUCUACAGGGUGGUAGUCCGUCCGGCCUUGUUGUAUGGAGCGGAGUGUUGGCCAUUUAAGCCCACAUCCAAAAAAUGAAGGUGGCAGAAAUGCGGAUGUUGCGCUGGAUGUGUGGGCUGACUAGAGGGGAUAGAGUUCGGAAUGAGACUAUCCGGGAGAAGGUUGGUGUGACUUCAGUGGAAUGCAAGAUGCGGGACGCACGAUUGAGAUGGUUCGGACGCGUGAAGAGGAGGGGNNNNNNNNNNNNNNNNNNNNNNNNNNNNNNNNNNNNNNNGCAUAAGGGUAGUGGGGUGAGUGGAUUAGGCAGUACAUGGAACAGUUACAGCUCACCGAGGACAUAACCCUAGAUAGGAAGGUCUGGAGGACGCGAAUUACGGCAGAGGACUAGGGCCAGUUUGGGUCACUAGUAUAGGGAAUUACUUGGUGGGGGUUUUAUUCCUGUUAUGAUUCCGUGUUCCGUGUUCCAUGUUUCAUUACGAAUCUGUGUGCUUUCCUCUGCUCUCCUCUGUUUUAUAUUACUUAUGGGUGUCGUAUUUAUGUUAUGUAAUCUGCUUCUGUGCUUUACUAUGUGUUUGUGUGGUAUCUCGUGCCUUGAGCCGGGGGUCUAUCGGAAACAGUCUUUCUACUUCUUCAGAGGUAGAGGUAUGGACUGCGUACAUCUUAACCCCCCAGACCCCACUAGGUGGGAAUACACUGGGUUUGUUGUUGUUGUUGUUGU
rnacentral:lncRNA from 1 species